UUGCCUAAGGAAAUAAAAUACAAGCACGCAGUCUAAAUUCUGAACCCCAUUAGACAUGGCAACUUCUAGAUUAAGCAGUUUUUCUCACCCCACUGGAUAUUGCAGUCCUUAAUAUACAGAUUUCACUUUAGAAAUGUGUGUGUCCC